rnacentral:rRNA from 1 species
UGAAUACGAGACGCUAAGGCGUCGAAGUAGUGUAUGUCAUACUUCCAAGAAAAGCUUGCACUGUCAUAAGUAAAAAAUGCCUGUACCAUAACCGACACAGGUGGGUAGGUAGAGUAUACUAAGGGGCGCGAGAUAACUCUCUCUAAGGAACUCGGCAAAAUAACUCCGUAACUUCGGGAGAAGGAGUACCUUAUUCUAUAAGGUUGCAAUAACAAGAUCCAAGCAACUGUUUAUCAAAAACACAGGUCUCCGCUAAGUCGUAAGACGAUGUAUGGGGGCUGACGCCUGCCCAGUGCCAGAAGGUUAAAGAAGUCGGUUAGCAUUAGCGAAGCUGGUAACUGAAGCCCUGGUGAACGGCGGCCGUAACUAUAACGGUCCUAAGGUAGCGAAAUUCCUUGUCGGGUAAGUUCCGACCCGCACGAAAGGCGUAAUGAUUUGGAUACUGUCUCGGAGAGGGGCUCGGUGAAAUAGACUUGUCUGUGAAGAUGCGGACUACCUGCACCAGGACAGAAAGACCCUAUGAAGCUUUACUGUAACUUGAAAUUGAAAUUGGACUUUAUUCCCAGUAUAGGUGGGAGGUGUUGAUUAUAAUCUUGCGGGAUUAUUGGAGCCAUCAGUGAGAUACCACUCUUGUAAUGUUAGAUUUCUAACUUUGAAUCAUUAUCUGGUCAAAGGACAGUUUCAGGCGGGCAGUUUGACUGGGGCGGUCGCCUCCCAAACGGUAACGGAGGCGUACAAAGGUUUCCUCUGAACGGGUAGAAAUCGUAUCUAGAGUGUAAAGGCAUAAGGAAGCUUGACUGUGAGACCUACAAGUCGAACAGGGACGAAAGUCGGUCUUAGUGAUCUGACGGUACUGAGUGGAAAGGCCGUCACUCAACGGAUAAAAGUUACUCUAGGAUAACAGGCUGAUCUCCCCCAAGAGUUCACAUCGACGGGGAGGUUUGGCACCUCGAUGUCGGCUCAUCGCAUCCUGGGGCGGUAGUACGUCCCAAGGGUUGGGCUGUUCGCCCAUGAAAGCGGUACGCGAGCUGGGUUCAGAACGUCGUGAGACAGUUCGGUCCAUAUCCGGUGUAGGCGUUAGAAUAUUGAGAGGAGCCUUCUUUAGUACGAGAGGACCGAGAAGGACAUACCUCUGGUGUACCAGUUAUCGUGCCAACGGUAAACGCUGGGUAGCUAUGUAUGGAGUGGAUAACCGCUGAAAGCAUCUAAGUGGGAAGCCCACCUCAAGAUAAGUAUUCUCA